rnacentral:rRNA from 1 species
CAGCAGCCGCCGCGGGAAUACGGAGGGAGCUAGCGUUGUUCGGAAUUACUGGGCGUAAAGCGCGCGUAGGCGGUUACUCAAGUCAGAGGUGAAAGCCCGGGGCUCAACCCCGGAACUGCCUUUGAAACUAGGUGACUAGAAUCUUGGAGAGGUCAGUGGAAUUCCGAGUGUAGAGGUGAAAUUCAUAGAUAUUCGGAAGAACACCAGUGGCGAAGGCGACUGACUGGACAAGUAUUGACGCUGAGGUGCGAAAGCGUGGGGAGCAAACAGGAUUAGAUACCCCAGUAGUCCCUGUCUCUUAUAC